ensembl:lncRNA
GAGAGACUCUCCAUGACCUUCUGUGGGUCUCUGUGAGCCUCUAUAUCUCUGCAUUAAUUGUAUGGGCAGAAGUUUCUGGUUAAUUUUGGUUGCUACUGCUUUCUUUACAUUCAGAAUAAAGCAGAAUAAAAGGUAGAGAAGUAGAAAUUGCAGCUGAUAGAGUGGAGGGUCCGGUCUGCCAUGUGACAAGAGCACUAUUUUUGGGAAGACUUCAGAUCUGCUUUCAAGUGACCACACAAGUCCUUCUGUCCUGUGAUCACCUGGAGACAUCCCUUCUCAUCUCUUCAUCCCACAUGGACCCAAGGAUCCAGAAUGAGGAGCACACCCAUGCAGAAGAUAGC